rnacentral:piRNA from 1 species
UGUGUGGAGACCCUUCUUGAUAUUGAGCA